rnacentral:tRNA from 1 species
UAUCUCAGUCGGUAAAGAAUCUGCCUGCAGUGCAGGAGACCCAGGUUCGAUCCCUGG